rnacentral:rRNA from 1 species
UACGUAGGGCGCAAGCGUUGUCCGGAAUUAUUGGGCGUAAAGAGCUCGUAGGCGGUUUGUCGCGUCUGCCGUGAAAGCCAGGGGCUUAACCCUUGGUCUGCAGUGGAUACGGGCAGACUAGAGGUAGGUAGGGGAGAAUGGAAUUCCCGGUGUAGCGGUGAAAUGCGCAGAUAUCGGGAGGAACACCGGUGGCGAAGGCGGUUCUCUGGGCCUUACCUGACGCUGAGGAGCGAAAGCGUGGGGAGCGAACAGG